AACAUCUGCAAUGAUAAAUGAUUCUAUCCUCCAAAUUCAGCUCGUUCAUUUCAGAAUAAAAAUCCUUUGACAUGAAAGAAGCAGCUUCCGCCAUAUGAAACAGAUGAACCAGGAAACCGCUGCAGCAUCAGGAAGAGCCUGGCAAAAGUUAAAAUUCAAAGAAAAUGCAUAAGGAAUAUUGCAGAAUAUCAGAAGAAGACCCUGGCAGUUUCUCAGUCGCAGGUUGCCGGCAUGUGGGGCGCAUGCACAGCUGGCGAGGCUCCUCCAGCAAUGGAACUCUGGCUGGUGGCAGAUCAAGGGUUGGGAGUUGAAUAGUGGUGUUUUGAGUCUCAACAGAGUAUUGGCAGAUCUGAGUUUUCAGAAGGGGGUCGACUGGAACACCUUCAAGUUGCAUGUGGGCCCACACCCCCCAUUUGGUUGAGGUGAAAUUGCAGGAAGGUGUUUUUCGGUGGUGUCACUGUGUCAGUCUAAGAUAGUGUAAGAGAUGUUGAGAAAUUAUUGCUGGAAGUUGGAGUUUCAAACCAGUUACAAAACUGAAAUUUUCUGGAAAGGUUGCUAGUGAACAGUGCUUGCAAUUUCUGUACUGUGACUACUGUGGUGAUUGUGUUUUUCUCUAAUACCAAUUCGAUGUAGGACAUGUGACAUAAUUUAAAUAUGAAGAGGGAAUUUAGAAAAUUAGGGAGAGAAGAAGAAGAAGAGCAGAACCUGCAGAGGGGGAGGGGGGAGAGAGAGAGGGAAACUGUAAUCUGAUUCAAACAAUAACUGUACAAUAACUUACAUGUCCAGCACUUAUACCA